UUUAUUGGAGAGUUUGAUCCUGGCUCAGGAUGAACGCUGGCGGCGUGCCUAAUACAUGCAAGUCGAGCGAAUGGAUUGAGAGCUUGCUCUCAAGAAGUUAGCGGCGGACGGGUGAGUAACACGUGGGUAACCUGCCCAUAAGACUGGGAUAACUCCGGGAAACCGGGGCUAAUACCGGAUAACAUUUUGAACUGCAUGGUUCGAAAUUGAAAGGCGGCUUCGGCUGUCACUUAUGGAUGGACCCGCGUCGCAUUAGCUAGUUGGUGAGGUAACGGCUCAC
rnacentral:rRNA from 1 species